rnacentral:lncRNA from 1 species
GUGGUGCACCUAGUGGUGAAUCAACGGAAUUGGAGAGUGAGCAAUGGGAAGAGUGUGACGUCAAGAGAAGAUGUCAUUUUCUAGAACCCUGAAACAGAGGGCCUAAAUAAAACGACAAUAUUCUACCAAGAGGACUGUAAAUGUUGAACGACAAAUAACUUGUGGAUUCCCAUGCUUGGUGUUGGUCCAUCCACCAAGCACUCAGUUGCUACCAUGGUCUCCUGACUGCCUUACCUUUUUGUCUGUUUGUCCGUAGGCCUUUUUCAAGGCUGGUCACUUCUGCAGGAAAGGAAAGGAAGAAGACACUGGCUCAAAUUUCUGAAGGGUGGCCUGCUGUCUGCUAUAGGGCUUAAUAUCACUGGAACAAGGCAAGGAGGGGGAAUUGCCCCACAUCAGUGCAGAUCCACCUCCAGUGGCAGCUCUGGUGGUGUUGGAAUUGCUGCUGACUACCGUCCUCCAGAGGUCUGCACCCACCUGGGAACCAUCCAUCCUCCCCCAGCUUGGUUGUGCUUCUGCUGCACUGUCUGUAAUAUUGGCUGAGGCUGGGCUUGAGGAGGAGGCUGGUUGACGGCUGGACUGGCUUGACUCUAACUCAUUUCCUACUGUAUCAUCUCCUGAAUCGCUGAAGGAUCAGAGUGUGAAGAUACAAAACUCACAGAUCUGUGGUAGAGGCUGAGACUGGGGUAGGAGUAUUUAACUGAG